GUGGGGAAUUUUGGACAAUGGGCGCAAGCCUGAUCCAGCCAUGCCGCGUGCAGGAUGAAGGCCUUCGGGUUGUAAACUGCUUUUGUACGGAACGAAAAGACUUCUUCUAAUACAGGAGGUCCAUGACGGUACCGUAAGAAUAAGCACCGGCUAACUACGUGCCAGCAGCCGCGGUAAUACGUAGGGUGCAAGCGUUAAUCGGAAUUACUGGGCGUAAAGCGUGCGCAGGCGGUUAUAUAAGACAGAUGUGAAAUCCCCGGGCGCAACCUGGGAACUGCAUUUGUGAAUGUAGAGCUAGAGUACGGUAGAGGGGGAUGGAAUUCCGCGUGUAGCAGUGAAAUGCGUAGAUAUGCGGAGGAACACCGAUGGCGAAGGCAAUCCCCUGGACCUGUACUGACGCUCAUGCACGAAAGCGUGGGGAGCAAACAGGAUUAGAAACCCCAGUAGUCC
rnacentral:rRNA from 1 species